GAUGAACGCUAGCGACAGGCCUAACACAUGCAAGUCGAGGGGCAGCACAUGAGUAGCAAUACGAUGGUGGCGACCGGCGCACGGGUGAGUAACACGUAUGCAACCUACCUGUAAGAGGGGAAUAACCCGGAGAAAUUCGGACUAACACCGCAUAAUACCGAUUAACUGCAUGGUUGAUCGGUUAAAUAUUUAUAGCUUACAGAUGGGCAUGCGUAACAUUAGAUAGUUGGUGAGGUAACGGCUCACCAAGUCAACGAUGUUUAGGGGUUCUGAGAGGAAGGUCCCCCACACUGGUACUGAGACACGGACCAGACUCCUACGGGAGGCAGCAGUGAGGAAUAUUGGUCAAUGGGCGAGAGCCUGAACCAGCCAAGUCGCGUGAAGGAAGAAGGUUCUAUGGAUUGUAAACUUCUUUUGUAAGGGAAUAAAAAGAGUUACGUGUAACUUAUUGUAUGUACUUUACGAAUAAGGAUCGGCUAACUCCGUGCCAGCAGCCGC
rnacentral:rRNA from 1 species